GACGAACGCUGGCGGCGUGCCUAAUACAUGCAAGUCGAACGCAGUGGGGACGGGUGAGUAACACGUGGGUAACCUGCCAUCAGAGGGGAUAAAACUUGGAAACAGGUGCUAAACCGAUACUGAUGGAUGGACCCGCGGUGCAUUAGAUAGUUGGUGAGGUCACGGAUCACCAAGUCCACGAUGAAUAGCCUACCUGAGAGUGUGAUCGGCCACACGUGGACUGAGAAACGGCCCAGACUCCUACGGUAGGCAGCAGUAGGGAAUCUUCGGCAAUGGACGAAAGUCUGACCGAGCAACGCCGCGUGAGUGAAGAAGGUUUUCGGAUCGUAAAACUCUUUUGUUAGAGAAGCGGUAUCUAACCAGAAAGCCACGGCUAACUACGUGCCAGCAGCCGCGGUAAUUC
rnacentral:rRNA from 1 species